CUUCACCAAGAACAUGAUCCCUGUGGCCAGGGGAAUCAAUAAUUGUGACAUAGUACUUGCUGGUCUCAAAUUUCCACAGGGAGAUGUUGAUGGUAAUGCCACAUACACACUCAUCCUUCAGUUUGUCCAAGACCCAAGCGUAUUUGAAAGAGCCCUUUCCCAUCUCGGCAGCUUUGUUCUCAAAUUUUUGGA